rnacentral:rRNA from 1 species
UGGGGAAUUUUGGACAAUGGGCGAAAGCCUGAUCCAGCAAUGCCGCGUGUGUGAAGAAGGCCUUCGGGUUGUAAAGCACUUUUGUCCGGAAAGAAAUCCUCUGGGUUAAUACCUCGGGGGGAUGACGGUACCGGAAGAAUAAGCACCGGCUAACUACGUGCCAGCAGCCGCGGUAAUACGUAGGGUGCAAGCGUUAAUCGGAAUUACUGGGCGUAAAGCGUGCGCAGGCGGUUUUGUAAGACGGAUGUGAAAUCCCCGGGCUUAACCUGGGAACUGCAUUCGUGACUGCAAGGCUAGAGUAUGGCAGAGGGGGGUUAGAAUUCCACGUGUAGCAGUGAAAUGCGUAGAGAUGUGGAGGAAUACCGAUGGCGAAGGCAGCCCCCUGGGCCAAUACUGACGCUCAUGCACGAAAGCGUGGGGAGCAAACAGGAUUAGAUACCCUGGUAGUCCACGCCCUAAACGAUGUCAACUGGUUGUUGGGGAUUCAUUUCCUUAGUAACGUAGCUAACGCGUGAAGUUGACCGCCUGGGGAGUACGGUCGCAAGAUUAAAACUC